CUACGUGCCAGCAGCCGCGGUAAUACGUAGGUCCCGAGCGUUAUCCGGAUUUAUUGGGCGUAAAGCGAGCGCAGGCGGUUAGAUAAGUCUGAAGUUAAAGGCUGUGGCUCAACCAUAGUUCGCUUUGGAAACUGUCAAACUUGAGUGCAGAAGGGGAGAGUGGAAUUCCAUGUGUAGCGGUGAAAUGCGUAGAUAUAUGGAGGAACACCGGUGGCGAAAGCGGCUCUCUGGUCUGUAACUGACGCUGAGGCUCGAAAGCGUGGGGAGCGAACAGGAUUAGAUACCCUGGUAGUCCACGCCGUAAACGAUGAGUGCUAGGUGUUGGAUCCUUUCCGGGAUUCAGUGCCGCAGCUAACGCAUUAAGCACUCCGCCUGGGGAGUACGACCGCAAGGUUGAAACUCAAAGGAAUUGACGGGGGCCCGCACAAGCGGUGGAGCAUGUGGUUUAAUUCGAAGCAACGCGAAGAACCUUACCAGGUCUUGACAUCCCGAUGCUAUUUCUAGAGAUAGAAAGUUA
rnacentral:rRNA from 1 species